rnacentral:rRNA from 1 species
UCCUACGGGGCGCAGCAGUAGGGAAUUUUCGUCAAUGGGCGCAAGCCUGAACGAGCAAUGCCGCGUGAACGAGGAAGGUCUUCGGAUCGUAAAGUUCUGUUGAAGGGGAAAAAGAGCGGAGAGAGGAAAUGGUCUCCGAUUGAUAUUACCCUUCGAGGAAGCCACGGCUAACUACGUGCCAGCAGCCGCGGUAAUACGUAGGUGGCGAGCGUUAUUCGGAAUGAUUGGGCGUAAAGGGUGCGUAGGCGGCCUGCUAAGUCUGGAGUGAAAGGUACCGGCUCAACCGGUACAGGCUCUGGAAACUG